UACGGAGGGUGCGAGCGUUAUCCGGAUUCACUGGGUUUAAAGGGUGCGUAGGUGGGAAUGUAAGUCAGUGGUGAAAUCUCUGAGCUUAACUCAGAAACUGCCAUUGAUACUAUGUUUCUUGAAUUUUUCUGGAGGUCAGCGGAAUAUGUCAUGUAGCGGUGAAAUGCUUAGAUAUGACAUAGAACACCAAUUGCGAAGGCAGCUGGCUACAGGGAUAUUGACACUGGAGGCACGAAAGCGUGGGGAGCAAACAGG
rnacentral:rRNA from 1 species